GACGAACGCUGGCGGCGUGCUUAACACAUGCAAGUCGACAUAAGUGGAGACAGGGUGAGUAAUACGUGGGUAACCUGCCCUCCUUUUUGGGAUAAGCCUUGGAAACGGGGUCUAAUACCGAAUAAAGGGGGAUGGGCUCGCGGCAUAUCAGCUUUUUGGUGGUGUGAUGGCCUACCAAGUCGGUGACGGCUAGCCGGCAUGAGAGGGUGACCGGCGACAUUGGGACUGAGAUACGUCCCAGACUCCCACGGGAGGCAGCAGUGGUGGAUAUUGAACAAUGUGCGAAAGUCGGAUGCAUCGACGCCGCGUGGGGGAUGAAGGCUUUCGGGUUGUAAACCUCGUUCGCUCUCGAACCGGUAGGUGGAGAAGAAGCGCCGGCUAACUACGUGCCAGCCGCCGCGGUAAUAC
rnacentral:rRNA from 1 species